rnacentral:rRNA from 1 species
AACGAACGCUGGCGGCAGGCUUAACACAUGCAAGUCGAACGCAUCGCAAGAUGAGUGGCAGACGGGUGAGUAACGCGUGGGAAUCUACCUAGUUCUACGGAACAACAGAGGGAAACUUCUGCUAAUACCGUAUACGCCCUAAGGGGGAAAGAUUUAUCGGAAUUAGAUGAGCCCGCGUAAGAUUAGCUAGUUGGUGGGGUAAUGGCCUACCAAGGCGACGAUCUUUAGCUGGUGUGAGAGGAUGAUCAGCCACACUGGGACUGAGACACGGCCCAGACUCCUACGGGAGGCAGCAGUGGGGAAUAUUGGACAAUGGGCGCAAGCCUGAUCCAGCCAUGCCGCGUGAGUGAUGAAGGCCUUAGGGUUGUAAAGCUCUUUCAGUGGGGACGAUAAUGACGGUACCCACAGAAGAAGCCCCGGCUAACUUCGUGCCAGCCGCCGCCGUAAGAC